rnacentral:rRNA from 1 species
GAGGAAUAUUGGUCAAUGGGCGAGAGCCUGAACCAGCCAAGUAGCGUGCGGGAUGAAGGCCCUUGUGGUCGUAAACCGCUUUUAUCAGUGAAUAAAGUGCACCACGUGUGGUGUCAUUGCAGGUAGCUGAAGAAAAAGGACCGGCUAAUUCCGUGCCAGCAGCCGCGGUAAUACGGAAGGUCCGGGCGUUAUCCGGAAUUAUUGGGUUUAAAGGGAGCGCAGGCGGGAGUAUAAGUCAGCUGUUAAAUAUCAGAGCCCAACUCUGUUAUGCAGUUGAAACUAUAUUUCUUGAGUACGCACAGGGAUGGUGGAAUUCAGGGUGUAGCGGUGAAAUGCUUAGAUAUCCUGAAGAACUCCGAUCGCGAAGGCAGCCAUCCGGAGCGUAACUGACGCUGAGGCUCGAAGGUGCGGGUAUCGAACAGGAUUAGAUACCCUGGUAGUCCGCACGGUAAACGAUGAAUACUCGCAGUUCGGCCGUUUAGGUCGAGUUGUCCAGCGAAAGCGUUAAGUAUUCCACCUGGGGAGUACGCCGGCAACGGUG